rnacentral:misc_RNA from 1 species
GAUGAAGAACGCAGCGAAAUGCGAUACGUAAUGUGAAUUGCACAAUUCAGUGAAUCAUCGAGUCUUUGAACGCACAUUGCGCCCCCUGGUAUUCCGGGGGGCAUGCCUGUCCGAGCGUCAUUGCUGCCCUCAAGCACGGCUUGUGUGUUGGGCCUCCGUCCUCCUCCCGGGGGACGGGCCCGAAAGGCAGCGGCGGCACCGCGUCCGGUCCUCGAGCGUAUGGGGCUUCGUCACCCGCUCUUGUAGGCCCGGCCGGCGCUUGCCGACACAUCAAUCUUUUUUCCAGGUUGACCUCGGAUCAGGUAGGGAUACCCGCUGAACUUAAGCAUAUCAAUAAGCGGAGGA